rnacentral:lncRNA from 1 species
CUGUGAAUGAGGGACAAGAACAGUUGGGAUGUCAUGAGUGAAGGCAUGCAGCAGAGAUGGGUUGUGGGAUCCCAGAGCUGAGAUAAAGGGAGAAUUUACCCUUUGCAAUUGCAAGGCUUAUACACAAUUUUCCUGGAGCUCAGUCAGUCAGCCAAAUCAGCAGGAGACUUUUGGAAAUGACAGGAGCCAACUGAGGUCAGUUUUGAUCUGGUGGAAACUUUAUUAAACCACUAUUGGUUAGGAGUCACUUUCAUUAGACCAAAUCAGUAGGAACUGCAGAGAGCUGGCUGAAAAGGUGUAAUUCCUGGUGAGGAGCUCUUGGAUGAAAGUCACCUCCAAGAUGAAGGAGUCAUGGCUGUGCUGCAUUAUUUGCUGCUAGAAGAGUCUUUGUUCUCAACCAGCUGAACUAGACUACUCUCUUCAAGAUUUUUUUUUCAAGUUUCCUCAUUGUAUAUUAAGACCCUUUCCAAACAGGCAGCAAUGGCCCUACAACUGUUGUGUAAGGAGCAUCAGAAGUUACUAUGCCCUUUGUGGGUGCCCAGAG